rnacentral:rRNA from 1 species
GUGUCCGAGUUGUAAUUUGAAGAAGGUAUCUUUGGGUCUGGCUCUUGUCUAUGUUUCUUGGAACAGAACGUCACAGAGGGUGAGAAUCCCGUGCGAUGAGAUGACCCAGACCUAUGUAAAGUUCCUUCGAAGAGUCGAGUUGUUUGGGAAUGCAGCUCUAAGUGGGUGGUAAAUUCCAUCUAAAGCUAAAUAUUGGCGAGAGACCGAUAGCGAACAAGUACAGUGAUGGAAAGAUGAAAAGAACUUUGAAAAGAGAGUGAAAAAGUACGUGAAAUUGUUGAAAGGGAAGGGCUUGAGAUCAGACUUGGUAUUUUGUAUGUUACUCUCUCGGGGGUGGCCUCUACAGUUUACCGGGCCAGCAUCAGUUUGGGCGGUAGGACAAUUGCAAAGAAAUGUGGCACUGCCUCGGUAGUGUGUUAUAGUCUUUGUCGAUACUGCCAGCCUAGACUGAGGACUGCGGCUUCGGCCUAGGAUGUUGGCAUAAUGAUCUUAAGUCGC